UCCGAUAUGGUGUAACGGCUAACAUCGCCGCCUUUCAUGUACUGAAAGUCCAAAGAUCCGCGGCAGCUCGGGGUUCGAUUCCCCGUAUCGGAG